GCAGUCGAACGAAGUAGCAAUACUUAGUGGCAGACGGGUGAGUAACAUGUAGGUAUCUGCCCUUUGGCCUGGAAUAACACGAGGAAACUUGUGCUAAUACCGGAUAAGUCUUUACGGAGAAAGCUUUAUGCACCAUUGGAUGAGCCUGCACUUGAUUAGUUUGUUGGUGGGGUAAUGGCCUACCAAGACUGUGAUCAAUAGCUGAUUUGAGAGGAUGAUCAGCCACAUUGGGACUGAGACACGGCCCAAACUCCUACGGGAGGCAGCAGUGGGGAAUAUUGGACAAUGGGCGCAAGCCUGAUCCAGCAAUACCGCGCGUGUGAAGAAGGCCUUAGGGUUGUAAAGCACUUUUAUGUAGGAAGAAGGUAUGUGUGUUAAUAGCACAUGUAACUGACGGUACUACAAGAAUAAGCACCGGCUAACUCCGUGCCAGCAGCCGCGGUAAUACGGAGGGUGCGAGCGUUAAUUGGAAUUACUGGGCGUAAAGGGUACGUAGGCGGCUUUAUAAGUCAGAUGUGAAAUCCCCGGGCUUAACCUGGGAACUGCAUUUGAAACUGUAUGGCUAGAGUGAGUGAGAGGUUAGUGGAAUUCCAGGCGUAGCGGUGAAAUGCGUAGAGGUCUGGAGGAACAUCAGUGGCGAAGGCGACUAACUGGCACUACACUGACGCUGAGGUACGAAAGCGUAGGGAGCGAACAGGAUUAGAUACCCUGGUAGUCCACGCCCUAAACGAUGAGGACUGGCUGUCAGUGCUAUAGACGCAUUGGUAGCGAAGCUAACGCGUUAAGUUCUCCGCCUGGGGAGUACGGCCGCAAGGCUGAAACUCAAAGGAAUUGACGGGGGCCCGCACAAGCGGUGGAGCAUGUGGUUUAAUUCGA
rnacentral:rRNA from 1 species